rnacentral:lncRNA from 1 species
CAGCAGGGGACCCCAUACUAAACACGUUCUCAUCUACAAUUUAAGGUAGCUAGAGCACCAGAGCUCAAAGUUCUCCCUACAUGAAUCAGCACAGGUGGCCCUUGGAAUAACCCUUUGAAACAUUUGAGAAACAUUCAGCAGAACAGCAGAAGGUCUGGUGGCAGCCUUCAUCUGCACCGCAGGGGGUCCCCCUCUAAAGACAGCUCCAGGACAUGGUCUCCCUCAGAAAAAUUCAUUGGGUAACCUGGGAAAGCAUCAAUAGAAC